rnacentral:lncRNA from 1 species
UUUUUCACAUUCAGUAUGAUGUUAGCUGUGGGUUUGUCGUAUGUGGCAUUUAUUAUGUUAAGAUUUCAAUGCAGCAAACCCUGUGAAAACCUAAUCAAACUUUUUAUUAAAUAUGAAGAUUCAGAGCAGAAUGGAGCUGAAUGGAUGCUGGGCAGAGGACAUUGAACUUCACUUCCUCCUUGGAAGCUAGAUUUGGCCAUGUGAUUAGCUACAGUUAAUGUUUGUAAGUGGAAGCCUUAAAAGUUGAUGUGCAAUUUGCUACACUCCCUUCCCACUGCCAAAUGUUGGUGAAAACGUGUCAAGAUGAUGCCUCUGCCAGCUUGAGUCUUCAUACCCUUCUUCUGACUUGCUUUGGACAUGUAGUAUCAUGGAGAACUAGGAUUUCAAACUGGAUCAUUUUGAGGGUAAAAGGGACAACAGGCACAAUUUGACAAUGUAUGUUCAUCCUAGUGAAACUUGUAAUGUUAAGCCACUGAGACCUGGGGGUUGUUUUUUUACCGCAGCGUAACCUAGCCUAUCUUGAUUGAUAUAUAAAUGCAUGUAUAGAAAUGCUCAAUAACUCAUUCAUAGAAGUGCAACAAAUGACUCAUGUUGCACUAUAACUGUGUGAGGUUGGUAAGAAAAUGGAUUCUAACAUCUAGGCCUAAGGUGAGUCAGCUACAUGGACACUGACAAGUGAGUAACCUGCUGGGAUCAAGAGCUCUUGGCUUCCAAGUGAAGGCUCUUUUUCAGAUCUUUCCAAGGAAAUGUUACCAAGGAGCUACAUUCAGGACAAAAGCUGCUGACAUGAGAAAAGGGUUAGUAUAGCCCAGAAAGACUAGCCUCGGUCUUGUCUGUAUGACCGUAUAUGCUUAAGAGUAUGGCACCAAGUUUUUACCGUGGAGGAGCCUGAGCCAACCUACAGAAUGUUUGAUUUGACCAGCAGAGUAUUGUAGACAAAACAUGAAUUUGCAGCCCUUUCAGUUGAGGAAGCACUCUCAGCUUUGCCACUGCCCUUUGUUUCUUUCUGUCAUUUGAUCCUGCUCUUUUCCACUUCUUCACCUCAGUUGUAUUACCUGCCUGGCUUUUGAAGACAUUUGAGUUUGGACCUCUGCAGGGAACCAUUGUACCUGAGAUGGAAAGCACAGCAGCCCGCAUGGACAGAAACAGGGCACUUCACCUCUGCAGUGUUCCUUCCAUAACCCCAGUCUAAUCAUAAGCAAAAUAAUCAGACAAACCCAGAUUAGGAGACAUCCUACAGGAUACCUGGACAGCAUUCCUAAAGCCUGUCAGGGUCACAAAAAACAAGGAAAGACUGAAGACUGUCAUAGGCCAGAAGCAAAUGGAGAGACAUGGCAACUAAAUGCAAUGUAGUGUCCUGGAUCAGAUACUAGAAUAGUAAGUAACAGGUCAUCAAUAGGAACACUGGUGAAGUCUGAAGAAUGUCUGGAAUUUAGAUAACAGUUACGUACCAAUAAUGGGCUCUUAGUUUUGACAAAUGUACCAUGGUAAUGUAAGACAUUAACAAUGGGAGAAACUGGGUGAGG